CCUACGGGUGGCAGCAGUGAGGAAUAUUGGUCAAUGGCCGGAAGGCUGAACCAGCCAAGCCGCGUGAGGGAGGAAGGCGCAGAGCGUCGCAGACCUCUUUUGCCGGGGGACAAAAGGCCGGACUCGUCCGGUCCUGAGGGUACCCGGAGAAAAAGCAUCGGCUAACUCCGUGCCAGCAGCCGCGGUAAUACGGAGGAUGCGAGCGUUAUCCGGAUUUAUUGGGUUUAAAGGGUGCGUAGGCGGUUUGAUAAGUUAGAGGAGAAAUGUCGGGGCUCAACCCCGAAACUGCCUCUAAUACUGUUGGACUAGAGAAUAGUUGCGGUAGGCGGAAUGUAUGGUGUAGCGGUGAAAUGCAUAGAUAUCACGCAGAACUCCGAUUGCGAAGGCAGCAUACCGGCGCCCAACUGACGCUGAAGCACGAAAGCGUGGGUAUCGAACAGGAUUAGAUACCCCAGUAGUC
rnacentral:rRNA from 1 species